CCUACGGGUGGCAGCAGUGGGGAAUAUUGGACAAUGGGGGGAACCCUGAUCCAGCGACGCCGCGUGAGUGAAGAAGUAUUUCGGUAUGUAAAGCUCUAUCAGCAGGGAAGAAAGAAAUGACGGUACCUGAGUAAGAAGCCCCGGCUAACUACGUGCCAGCAGCCGCGGUAAUACGUAGGGGGCAAGCGUUAUCCGGAUUUACUGGGUGUAAAGGGAGCGUAGACGGCGAUGCAAGUCUGAAGUGAAAGGCGGGGGCCCAACCCCCGGACUGCUUUGGAAACUGUAUGGCUGGAGUGCAGGAGAGGUAAGUGGAAUUCCUAGUGUAGCGGUGAAAUGCGUAGAUAUUAGGAGGAACACCAGUGGCGAAGGCGGCUUACUGGACUGUAACUGACGUUGAGGCUCGAAAGCGUGGGGAGCAAACAGGAUUAGAUACCCCGGUAGUC
rnacentral:rRNA from 1 species